rnacentral:lncRNA from 1 species
AAUUACAGGUUCAGGAAUUUGGUUUUUGAAUAAAUACUGAGGUUCUCUCACCUUCAGUUUUGUUCUUGAGAAAUACUCUUUUCAGGCUCUGAGUUUUAAUUUUAUCAGUUUGGAUAAAUCCCCUUCCCUCAAUUUUCUCUCUCUUUCUAGUUAGAGACACAUACUUUCAAACUUGUAAACUAGAAAUGCUUGCUGUGAAGUUGUAUACAACACCUAGUGAAAAAGAAUCUAAAAUGAAAUGAACAAGUGGACAGUGAUACAGUUGGAUGCCCUUACAAUCAUGAUCACUAGGAACUGCCUUUUUCUCCAUUUGAUUUCUAUAAUGGCAAUUACUACCAAGUACCAAUAAUAAAAGAAACAAGAGAGCUUGGAAAAGGUAGGCAAUCCUGGCAUUUAUUAGUAAUGCUUAUUUAUCAGCCGACAGCUAGCUGAUUUCUUUAAAAUACUUUUUUUUUUUUUUUUAGUAUCUAGAUAGAGACUAUCAAUCAUUAUGGGUUGGUUCAGAAUUCCGAUGUUUGAUUCCUGUCUAUACAGGAAAUGAAGCACAUAAUCACUAACUAAAAUAGUCUUCCGUAGUAUAUGACUUUCUGUCACCCCUGUAACGGGUUUUUAUAGCAGCAGCAUGUAGAGAGAAGUAAGAGGUUGCUUCUGGUCUUUAAGCCUUACACAUAUUAACUGUCAGAAUGGAAACCAGUCCUAGAAACUAGUGCUUGACAGCAGACUUACCACUCCGUGUGGAGAGCAGUUUCUGUUCACUUUGCCAGAAUCUCAGGUGCUAUGUUUUCAAGUCAGCACUCGAGCUUUGGGAAAUGAGGAGACGUGUGUGUGUGUGUGUGUGUGUGUGUGUGUCUGUCUGUCUGUCUGUCUGUCUGUGUGGUGAGAAAGUAGACAUUCUCCUGGGGAAAGAUGCUGGGUGGCUAUAACUAAAGAAACACCAGGAUACAAGAGACAGUCAGUUUAAUAAAAAUUUGGUUUGAGAGUAAAAUCCCCCUUGGCCCCCCCCCCCCUUUUUUUUUUUUGAGACAAGGUCUUUUUGUAGCUCUGGCUGUUCUGGAACUCACACUGUAGAUGAGGCUGGCCUUGAACUCACAGAGAUCGGCUUGCCUCUGCCUCCCAAGUGCUGGGAUUACAGGCAUGCAAAAUGCUGUUUUAUAAAGUAAGGAUCAAAACUUGAUUUUAUAGGAGAGCUUGCUUAUAAAUGUCUCUUAGGUUCUUUUCAGAACUGUUAAUUUAUAAAUAAGAAAAUUAUCCCCUUUUAUUUCUUUCCUUAUUUUUUGAGACUGGGUCUUACUAUGUAGCCCUGGCUUAUAGAGCAGGUCUCAAACUGUAAGAGAUCUGCUUGCCCCUCUACCCCAAAUGCUGGGAUUAAUGGUAUGCCCCACCAUACCUGGCUACCCCAUUUUUUAUACAGUUAUAAAAGUACAAGCUGGUUUUCCUUAUUUCAUAAGCUCAUCCCAUACAAUCGAAUGUAGUAAGUUAUCAUUAUAGUUGUUAUUCACAUUGCUUUGGUUAAAUGUGGACAUGAUGAAGCAAGAUUUAGGAAUUACUUCGUUGUCAGAGUGGUGGUGGUGAAGAGAAACUGAGUGGAGUGUUUGCCAUUAGCAGUAGGUCGUACAGCUGGCCUUGUUCAUUUGCUGACCUUUUCUUCCAUGUGCCAUAGAAGCCAUGCUAUUAGACUGCCCCAGACAGAAAGCAUGUGUGUGGUGGUGGCUGUGAAGCUCUGUCUACCUUAAAAUGAAAGAUUUUUAAAUUGUCGCCUCUUUUUAACUCUGUUUUGCUUGUCAUUGUAAACUCUAAAUGGUCAACAUAAAGUUCGCAGAGUAUAUUUUAACAUGUAUUUCAGAGGUACUACCUGGAUUAUCAGGAUAGAUGAAGCACUACAAUCUCUUAUCGGAAAAUGGAAAUAUGGAUAUUUAUAUUUUGCAUAUUUCAUCACUAGUUUCCAUUUUAUGUAAUGGGUAUUUUCCUUGCUUAUGGGGAAAGAAGCAAAACAACAGAUUUCUUUUAUAGCUUUGUCUACAUCCUCUCUGAGAGAGAAUUUGAUAACCACUAAAAUGGUAGAUUAUGUAAGAUGCAAAUACUAAGUUGUCUGUCACAUUGCCUUUUAAGAUGAGCAUGAUAUAUCUUAACACCCAAAUGAGAGUUGACCUUCAAAGCAGUUCUCUUUGGAACAUUGUUUAUUUCAGCUCCGUUACAAAGUAUGUUUCUGGAACUUUGUCCUAUGUCAUAGGUGCUUUGAGGGUUGACUUACGACCGUGUAAGAAGAAUCAGUUUCAUAUUUUUAAUAGCACAAAAACAAUUUUUUGAAGCUUAGUAGAAACUACAUUAACUACCAAACCACGCCCACUAACUUUGCUGUUAACCAGGCCAGUGUGGAAAGCAAGGGUACAUUUUAGGCUCUGCUGAGACGAGGGCUACAGAUACUGACUGCGUCAGAGAAAUAUAGGUUCCGGAUGUUACUGUUGGAAGUUGGAACCGUUAUUUACAUGUGAGAACCUUUUUAUUACUUUGUAUUUAUAUAGAACUUUAAAACCAAGGUCUUUCUCUAGAACUUGAUUUCUAUUAUCUCUCUUUUCCCUUCUCCCCCUAAAACUUUUGUAUUGUGUUUGGAUAGUUUUUUUGUUUGAGAGGAUAGUAUGGAAAAUGGAUACAGUACUUAGAACGGCAGUUUAAAGAAACAAAGCCUUUACCUCCAUUGUUUUAUAUUUUGUUUUGAACAUGUUUUUCUUUCGAUUUUUCUUUAAUGAAAAACUGGAGAUUGAUGUAUAGGGAAAUUGGAAAUAAUUUUAUUAUUAUGCCAAAUUUUAGCCUACCUAUCAUUAAUAACUAUUAAAAGUUAUGUAAGUAUUCAAAGC